GUUAGGGGCACGUGGCUCCUCACAUGUGCUCAUUUCCAUUACAACUUUGUCCAAGGACAAACAGAUGGGAUGUGUUUUCAAUUUCGUCCAUGGUAUCCUAAUGGAUGCUUUAUUGCAAAAGACCUUGUUUAUAGCAAGCCAUGUUGGCAGAUCCAGCAUGUUUUGAAGCACCUCUUGAUCCAACUCUAAGUUGGUCAGUUGACCUUCCCC
rnacentral:lncRNA from 1 species